rnacentral:lncRNA from 1 species
AUGGCAGGCAUAAACUGGAUUUCUGUGAUUAGUAAAGUUGUGCUGAGAACUGGGCAGACUGUUGCACCUGCGAAUGUGUGCAAAGCCUGCCAACAGAGAGAAAUAACUUUUCCCUGCAGGCUGAGCUUGUCUGACAUAGGUCAUUGGGGCAUCAAGCUGUAUAAACAAGGCAGUUUUAAAAGCAAGCUUGCCAGUUCUUAUUUAACCAGUGAUUUUUUCAGGAAGGAAAGCUUUGAGAUGCUGUUUGCUAAUGGAAGAUGGAGAGAGGAAAAGCAAGAGAAAGGCAUGGUGUGCAUAGCCACCACAUCCCAUCUGCAGCGUUCUCCCCCUCUGCAAACGAGGAGCAGCUCAUCAAGCUUGGCCUGGGCCAUGGAAAGGGAGCAUGCAAACAUCUGGGCCAACCCAAACGAGUUAGUUCUGCAGUGCCAACAGGAAACUCUCACACAGGUGGGGUUUGCGGAGAAAGAGGUCCUGCAGGUCUUGUGUGACACCCAUGGAACCGUAGCGAGGCUGCAUGUGUGUAAAACACCAGGAAUCAACAGAGGUGUGAAGGAAUCAAUGUGGGUUUUUUGUGUAAAGAACAGACUCAUUGUGCAGCCUGUGAAUGAAUUCAUUCUCACCUGCUGA